GAAUAAAGGAAAUUAUUUGCAAUAUAUUUAUCAUAUAAAGAACUUGUAUUAAUCAAUAAAGACAGACAAUCCCGUAGCAAAUGAACAAGACACUUCACGAAAAUGAUAUUCCAAUGUCCAAUAAAUGUAUAUAAAAGUACUUUAUUUCCUUAUCAGAGAAAUGCAUACCAUUUCAAUGUUAUUACAAUUACAAUCUCACCAGAAUGGCUAGAAUUAAAAGGAUUGGCAACACAAAUGCAGAAGAUGCCAGCAACUGGAACUUUUUUUUUUCCCCAGAUGGAGUCUUGCUCUGUUACCCAGACUAGAGUGCAGUGGUGCUAUCUCAGCUCACUGCAACCUCCACCUCUCAGGUUCAAGCAAUUCUCCUGCCUCAGCCUCCCAAGUAGCUGAGAUUACAGGCACUCGCCACCACGCCCGGCUAAUUUUUGUAUUUUUAGUAGAGAUGGGGUUUCAUCAUGUUGGCCAGGCUGGUCUCGAACUGCUGACCUCAUGAUCUGCCCACCUCAGCCUCCCAAAGUGCUGGGAUUACAGGCAUGAGCCACAGCUCCCGGCAGCAACUGUAACUUUUGAUGCAGGAUUUUUCUUCUCGGUCACUUUGCAAACCGGGACCUCCGGCCAGCGAUGCCCCACCCGCGCCCUGCUCAGCCACGCUGGCAUGCCCCAGCUCGCCUGUGUUAUAGCUUCUAUCCGCGUUCGGCGGUUCCCAAGCUCUUGUACCCACGUUCGGCGGUUCCCAAGCUCUUGUACCCGCGUUCGGCAGUUCCCAAGCUCUUGUACCACGCCUGAGAAGAAUGAGGAUACGUUGGACAUUGAAGGGUGAAGAGGGCGGAGAAGAAUUUUAUUGAGCAAGGGAACAGCAAUUAGCGGAGAAGGGACUCUGGGGGGUGGUCGCCCACCCCCUUAGUCGGAUGGUUUUUUCCUCCCCUCGUGGCUGGGUCACGAGCUUUUUAUAGGCUUAGAAUAGGGGAGGGGCAGGUCAUAGGUAGUAUUGGAAAAGGCAACGCUUGAUCGGUUAAAACGCAUUAUUUAGAAAUAAUUAAUCAGGAAAGAGCGGGGGCAAAAAGGAACAGAAAUACUCAGCCUGUGUCGCGGGUUUCAUCUGGGACCAGCAGUUCAGUGUUUUUGGCUGGAAGGUGGGGUUUCACCCCAUCCUCCUGGGCAUUUAGCAGCCUCCAGCCGCUCUCACUUUCGUGUGCCAUGGACGAGAUGAUAAACUGAGAUUGUAGAGGAGUUGCAGUUCUUGGCAGUGACCAGGUCUAGAGAACGACCACUGAGGGGUUGCUUGCUCUGAUGGAAACGUUAUUCCUAGGCUUCAUUUCUGAAUAUGGAUGUCCCACUGCCAGCUUUGGGAAGCCUUCACCAUCUCUGCCUAUACAGAUGGACACACUCCCUGCCUGUGCUGCUGCUAGACUGUGCUUACACUUCCAUCACAGAAUUUAUUUGAUUGGGUUAUCAUGGCUUCUCUGCUGGAAUGGAAGCUACUUGGGAGCCUGGGGAAAUGCUUGGCUCAAAGCACUUCUGCACUUCUGAUGGUUGGAUGACUCCACUGAGACCCAAGACUUAAGACUCACCUGGUCCUAUAGCCCCCACCCAGAAGUGGACUCAGCACAUAAGAACCAUUUUCUACAUCUCUAUGAUUGCACCCCUGACCAAUCAGCAGCACCCAUUCCCUAGCCCCCAGCCCACCUAACUAUCUUGAAAAAACUCUAGCCUCCAAAUUUUCAGGGAAUCUGAUUUGAGUAAUAAAAUCAACCCAUCUGUUAUUAUUAGUCU
rnacentral:lncRNA from 1 species